CACCGCGGUUAUACGAGAGGCCCAAGUUGCCAGACAAACGGCGUAAAAAGUGGUCAGUAAAAUAACCAACUAAAGCCAAACACCUUCAAAGUUGUCAUAUGCUAUCGAAGGCAGGAAGCACCCCCACGAAAGUGGCUUUAACUAUUACACCCCACGAAAGCUAGGAAA
rnacentral:rRNA from 1 species